rnacentral:rRNA from 1 species
CCAAUCUAGAGUNUCGGAGAGGAAAGUGGAAUUCNUAGUGUAGCGGUGAAAUGCGUAGAUAUUAGGAAGAACACCAGUGGCGAAGGCGACUUUCUGGACGAAAACUGACGCUGAGGCGCGAAAGCCAGGGGAGCGAACGGGAUUAGAUACCCCGGUAGUCCUGGCCGUAAACGAUGGGUACUAGGUGUAGGAGGUAUCGACCCCUUCUGUGCCGGAGUUAACGCAAUAAGUACCCCGCCUGGGGAGUACGACCGCAAGGUUGAAACUCAAAGGAAUUGACGGGGGCCCGCACAAGCGGUGGAGUAUGUGGUUUAAUUCGACGCAACGCGAAGAACCUUACCAGGUCUUGACAUUGAUGGACAGAACUAGAGAUAGUUCCUCUUCUUCGGAAGCCAGAAAACAGGUGAUGCACGGUUGUCGUCAGCUCGUGUCGUGAGAUGUAGGGUUAAGUCCCGCAACGAGCGCGACCCCUAUCUUAUGUUGCCAGCACUUUGGGUGGGGACUCAUGAGAGACUGCCGCAGACAAUGCGGAGGAAGGCGGGGAUGACGUCAAAUCAUCAUGCCCCUUAUGACCUGGGCUACACACGUACUACAAUGGGAGUUAAUAGACGGAAGCGAGAUCGCGAGAUGGAGCAAACCCGAGAAACACUCUCUCAGUUCGGAUCGUAGGCUGCAACUCGCCUACGUGAAGUCGGAAUCGCUAGUAAUCGCAGGUCAGCAUACUGCGGUGAAUACGUUCCCGGGCCUUGUACACACCGCCCGUCACACCACGAAAGUCGGAAGUGCCCAAAGCCGGUGGGGUAACCUUCGGGAGCCAGC